UAGGGAAUCUUCGGCAAUGGGGGCAACCCUGACCGAGCAACGCCGCGUGAGUGAAGAAGGUUUUCGGAUCGUAACGCUCUGUUGUAAGAGAAGAACGUGUGUGAGAGUGGAAAGUUCACACAGUGACGGUAACUUACCAGAAAGGGACGGCUAACUACGUGCCAGCAGCCGCGGUAAUACGUAGGUCCCGAGCGUUGUCCGGAUUUAUUGGGCGUAAAGCGAGCGCAGGCGGUUUUAUAAGUCUGAAGUUAAAGGCAGUGGCUUAACCAUUGUUCGCUUUGGAAACUGUUAAACUUGAGUGCAGAAGGGGAGAGUGGAAUUCCAUGUGUAGCGGUGAAAUGCGUAGAUAUAUGGAGGAACACCGGUGGCGAAAGCGGCUCUCUGGUCUGUAACUGAAGCUGAGGCUCGAAAGCGUGGGGAGCAAACAGG
rnacentral:rRNA from 1 species